CUCCAUCGCAAAAGACGACCACGUCGAUCCCAUGAUAAUAUCCAUCAGGAUCCCAGAUAUACCCUACCUAGUCAUUGACUUUGCAGUGCGCCGUCCGGGUACAUAUGCAGACCUGAUCCACCCCAGCAACCCUACAUAUACUCGGAUCAAUCGCCGGUAACAAGGCUGAGGCCAUCCUUAGAAGGGUCUUGGAAGAAGACGGGAACCCGCCUACCUACCCUCCCUUGUUCUUUGUGGGAAUAAGCUAAGUAUGGGUAACUUAACUUGCUGCUGGUUAGGGUGGGACCAUCUGGAACGUUGACUUACACCCCGACUUUGCCUGGGCCUGUCAUCCAGACUCUUCCGAGACUAGCUACCAUUCGCUUCUCCUCGCCGCCCCUACCAAUAAGAAACUCCUCAGUGUACAAGGCGUGCCGGGGUGCUAGAUUCCGUGCAGAACUCUGCACCACCCACCCUUUACCUCGCCACAACUCUGCUCAAGGUCGCUGACUGGCAAGUUGCAGGGAGCACAUCUCGUCAGUCGUCGACGAGGCCGUAUACACUUCGACGUACUCCCACACCCGUACAGUCACUUCUCGCUCUAGCCUCUCUCGCGAGACGUCUGUUGCAGAAAUCCACCUUCUUGGAUAAACCACACUCCUAUUAUACUCCAGCUCGUGGCUGCUCUUCGGUUUUGCCACGGCCUUUGAGCACCACACAAUUGGUUGUUGCCGUUGUGCGGGGUUGGGGAUCCAGGUGCUGAACACUUUUGUGUCCCUCUGCCACGAC